ACUCUCGACAGGCUUGUCCACUGGAGCGUGGGAAGGCUGCCUCCCCACACAAUUCUCCACGAUGACUGUGGGGAUGGUACAGUGGUGAACCAAGCAUCACUAAGACGGAAGAGGUGAUUAGGGAGGAGCUUUCUUGGCCACCCAGCUGGAUCUCUGCACCCUGCUGACCCCAGGCCCUGUGCUCAGCCUGAGGUCCCACUCUGCGGUGGUCUGUAGGAGGUAGCUGGGAUCACACAGCAUUGGAAACCUCCUAGCUUUACAGCUGUCCCAGGGCUCAGAGUGAAGAAGGAUGGAUGGGUGACAGCGAUCGAUGGGCCACUGGAUGGACAGUGACAGGUAAAAAGGUCAAAGUCUGACAUCACCAAGUGUUGGCAAGGAUGUGGAGCAACCAGAAUUCCCAUACCCUGCCGGUGGGAAUGUAAAUUGGAACGACAAGUUGGGAAAAUGCCUUGGCCUUAUCUCAUAGAUGUGAAGGUGCCCAGUCCCUGUACUAAGUGAUUCCCCAUCAGCAUAUGUUCCCAGAGAAACGCUCACACAUGACAAAGGAGUGGACGCAGCUGCCUCUACUCUGUUUAGAAUGGAACACAGGAGGAUGGGUAAAUGCACUGCGUUAUCUUUAAUAGCGUCACAGCCAUGAAAAAUGAAUGGACCAGAACGUCAUGUAUUCAUGUGAAAGAAUGUCAGCAACGUGCCAGCAAAUAACAAAAAAGGAUCUCUGAAGGGGUUUUGAAGGAUGAAGAGGAGCUCUCCAGGCAGGUCUGAAGGGAGAACAUCUCAGGGAGAGAGACCAAUCAGAAACAAGGCAGAGAAAAGAAAACAGGAGUUUGUCAUGAUUAUUCUUUAUGUCAAAACAGCAACACAUGGUCUCAGCAUGUUAAAAUAAUAGCACAAGUGUCUAAACUGAAAAGUACCUCCCCUUGCCCCACCCCCCACCUGCCACUGCCCCUGAAUGAUCAUACUUCUCCAAACUAACAACUAUUCUUCACUGGGUAUGUAUCUUCCCUGAUUAUUUUCUGUAUCUACACAAAUACUUUUAUUUUAUUUAUUUUUUUAAAGAUUUUUAUUUAUUUGACA